GGCACAUGAGGANNAUUUGCGCAAUGGAGGAAACUCUGACGCAGCCAUGCCGCGUGCAGGAUGAAUGCCCUAUAGGGUUGUAAACUGCUUUUCUGCAAGAAGAAACCUUAGUACGUGUACUAAGUUGACGGUACUGUAGGAAUAAGCACCGGCUAACUCCGUGCCAGCAGCCGCGGGUAAUAU
rnacentral:rRNA from 1 species